rnacentral:rRNA from 1 species
GGGUCAUUAGGUUGGUCGUGCCACCGGUACGUACUGGUCUCACUGAUUCCUCCUUCCUGAAGAACCGUAAUGCCAUUAAUUCGGUGUUGCGGGGAAACAGGACUGUUACUUUGAAAAAAUUAGAGUGUUUAAAGCAAGCUAACGCUUGAAUACAUUAGCAUGGAAUAAUGAAAUAGGACGAUCGAUCCUAUUUUGUUGGUUUCUAGGAUUGACGUA